AGCGAACGCUGGCGGCAGGCCUAACACAUGCAAGUCGAACGAACCCUUCGGGGUUAGUGGCGGACGGGUGAGUAACACGUGGGAACGUACCUUUAGGUUCGGAACAACACAGGGGAAACUUGUGCUAAUGCCGAAUGUGCCCUUCGGGGGAAAGAUUUAUCGCCUUUAGAGCGGCCCGCGUCUGAUUAGCUUGUUGGUGAGGUAAAGGCUCACCAAGGCUUCGAUCAGUAGCUGGUCUGAGAGGAUGAUCAGCCACACUGGGACUGAGACACGGCCCAGACUCCUACGGGAGGCAGCAGUGGGAAUCUUGCGCAAUGGGCGAAAGCCUGACGCAGCCAUGCCGCGUGAAUGAUGAAGGUCUUAGGAUUGUAAAAAUUCUUCUACCGGGGAAGAUAAUGACGGUACCCGGAGAAGAAGCCCGGCUAACUUCGUGCCAGCAGCCGCGGUAAU
rnacentral:rRNA from 1 species